AGAGUUUGAUCCUGGCUCAGAUUGAACGCUGGCGGCGUGCCUAACACAUGCAAGUCGAGCGGUAACAGGUGUAGCAAUACAUGCUGACGAGCGGCGAACGGGUGAGUAAUGUUUCGGAAUCUGCCCAACGGUGGGGAAUAACCAGCCGAAAGGUUGGCUAAUACCGCAUACGUCCUACGGGAGAAAGCGGGGGAUCGUAAGACCUCGCGCCGAUGGAUGAGCCGAAACCGGAUUAGCUAGUUGGUAGGGUAACGGCCUACCAAGGCGACGAUCCGUAGCUGGUCUGAGAGGACGACCAGCCACACUGGGACUGAGACACGGCCCAGACUCCUACGGGAGGCAGCAGUGGGGAAUAUUGGACAAUGGGGGAAACCCUGAUCCAGCGACGCCGCGUGUGUGAAGAAGGCCUGCGGGUUGUAAAGCACUUUUAGUGGGGAUGAAAAGCACAGGGCUAAUAUCUCUGUGUCUUGACCUAACCCAAAGAAAAAGCACCGGCUAACUCUGUGCCAGCAGCCGCGGUAAUACAGAGGGUGCGAGCGUUAAUCGGAAUUACUGGGCGUAAAGCGUGCGUAGACGGUUAUGUAAGUCGGGUGUGAAAGCCCCGGGCUCAACCUGGGAAUUGCAUUCGAGACUGCAUAGCUAGGGUGCGGAAGAGGGAAGCGGAAUUUCCGGUGUAGCGGUGAAAUGCGUAGAUAUCGGAAGGAACACCAGUGGCGAAAGCGGCUUCCUGGUCCAGCACCGACGUUCAGGCACGAAAGCGUGGGGAGCAAACACGAUUAGAUACCCUGGUAGUCCACGCCAUAAACGAUGAGAACUAGACGUUGAGAGGGUAAGCCUCGCAGUGUCGUAGCUACGCGCUAGGUUCUCUGCCUGGGGGAGUACAGCCCGCCAGGUUGAUACUCCAGAAUGAC
rnacentral:rRNA from 1 species